rnacentral:rRNA from 1 species
GUGUCAGCAGCCGCGGUAAUACGUAGGGUGCGAGCGUUAAUCGGAAUUACUGGGCGUAAAGGGGGCGUAGGCGGUAAAAGAAGUCAUCUGUGAAAACCUAUUGCUCAACGAUAGGCUAGCGGAUGAAACUGAAUUACUUGAGGGCACCAGAGGUAGACGGAAUUACCCGAGUAGGGGUGAAAUCCGCAGAUACGGGUAGGAACGCCGGUGGAGAAGUCGGUCUACUGGGGUGUAACAGACGCUGAGGCCCGAAAGCUAGGGGAGCAAACCGGAUUAGAUACCCGGGUAGUCCUAGCCGUAAACGAUGCUCACUAGGUGUAGGGAGUGACAAACUCUCUGUACUGAAGCAAACGCGCUAAGUGAGCCGCCUGGGGAGUACGGCCGCAAGGAUGAAACUUAAAUAAAUUGGCGG